UACGUAGGUGGCAAGCGUUUGUCCGGAUUUACUGGGCGUAAAGGGCGCGCAGGCGGCAGAUCAAGUCAGACGUGAAAGCCCCGGGCUUAACCUGGGAACUGCGUUUGGGACUGGUUUGCUAGAGAUCGGGAGAGGAGAGUGGAAUUCCCAGUGUAGAGGUGAAAUUCGUAGAUACUGGGAAGAACACCGGUGGCGAAGGCGGCUCUCUGGACCGAUACUGACGCUGAGGCGCGAAAGCGUGGGGAGCAAACAGG
rnacentral:rRNA from 1 species